rnacentral:piRNA from 1 species
UAAAACGCAGGCCACUGGGCCACACCCC